AUCUACGGCCGUACCACCCUCAACAUGCUCGAUCUUUUCUGAUCUUGGAAGCUAUGCAAGGUUGAGCCUGGUUAGUACUUGGAUGGAAGACCACCUAGAUACCAAGUGCUGUAGGCA
rnacentral:rRNA from 1 species